AUGAACGCUGGCGGCGUGCCUCAUACAUGCAAGUCGCGCGAACAGACGAGGAGCUUGCUCCUCUGACGUUAGCGGCGGACGGGUGAGUAACACGUGGAUAACCUACCUAUAAGACUGGGAUAACUUCGGGAAACCGGAGCUAAUACCGGAUAACAUGUUGAACCGCAUGGUUCAACAGUGAAAGACGGUCUUGCUGUCACUUAUAGAUGGAUCCGCGCCGCAUUAGCUAGUUGGUAAGGUAACGGCUUACCAAGGCAACGAUGCGUAGCCGACCUGAGAGGGUGAUCGGCCACACUGGAACUGAGACACGGUCCAGACUCCUACGGGAGGCAGCAGUAGGGAAUCUUCCGCAAUGGGCGAAAGCCUGACGGAGCAACGCCGCGUGAGUGAAGAAGGUCUUCGGAUCGUAAAACUCUGUUAUUAGGGAAGAACAAAUGUGUAAGUAACUAUGCACGUCUUGACGGUACCUAAUCAGAAAGCCACGGCUAACUACGUG
rnacentral:rRNA from 1 species